rnacentral:rRNA from 1 species
AGAGUUUGAUCCUGGCUCAGGACGAACGCUGGCGGCGCGCCUAACACAUGCAAGUCGAACGAGCGAGAGAGAGCUUGCUUUCUCAAGCGAGUGGCGAACGGGUGAGUAACGCGUGAGGAACCUGCCUCAAAGAGGGGGACAACAGUUGGAAACGACUGCUAAUACCGCAUAAGCCCACGGGUCGGCAUCGACCAGAGGGAAAAGGAGCAAUCCGCUUUGAGAUGGCCUCGCGUCCGAUUAGCUAGUUGGUGAGGUAAUGGCCCACCAAGGCGACGAUCGGUAGCCGGACUGAGAGGUUGAACGGCCACAUUGGGACUGAGACACGGCCCAGACUCCUACGGGAGGCAGCAGUGGGGAAUAUUGCACAAUGGGGGAAACCCUGAUGCAGCGACGCCGCGUGGAGGAAGAAGGUCUUCGGAUUGUAAACUCCUGUUGUUGAGGAAGAUAAUGACGGUACUCAACAAGGAAGUGACGGCUAACUACGUGCCAGCAGCCGCGGUAAAACGUAGGUCACAAGCGUUGUCCGGAAUUACUGGGUGUAAAGGGAGCGCAGGCGGGAAGACAAGUUGGAAGUGAAAUCCAUGGGCUCAACCCAUGAACUGCUUUCAAAACUGUUUUUCUUGAGUAGUGCAGAGGUAGGCGGAAUUCCCGGUGUAGCGGUGGAAUGCGUAGAUAUCGGGAGGAACACCAGUGGCGAAGGCGGCCUACUGGGCACCAACUGACGCUGAGGCUCGAAAGUGUGGGUAGCAAACAGGAUUAGAUACCCUGGUAGUCCACACCGUAAACGAUGAUUACUAGGUGUUGGAGGAUUGACCCCUUCAGUGCCGCAGUUAACACAAUAAGUAAUCCACCUGGGGAGUACGACCGCAAGGUUGAAACUCAAAGGAAUUGACGGGGGCCCGCACAAGCAGUGGAGUAUGUGGUUUAAUUCGAAGCAACGCGAAGAACCUUACCAGGUCUUGACAUCCUACUAACGAGAUAGAGAUAUGUUAGGUGCCCUUCGGGGAAAGUAGAGACAGGUGGUGCAUGGUUGUCGUCAGCUCGUGUCGUGAGAUGUUGGGUUAAGU